GAAAGUAGCUCAGUUGGUAGAGCGUCAGCCUUCCAAGCUGAAUGUCGCCGGUUCGAACCCGGUCUUUC
rnacentral:tRNA from 3 species